UGAAAUGCAGGUGCAGCUGGACAUUCUUCUGAGCUAUAAGCAUAUUUAUUUAGUCCCGUCAAACGGAUUAUUACUUUUGCUGCAGCUAACAUAAAGGGAGUCUGACCAUAUUGGCUGACUGAUGCAGGAUCUCACAAGGGUCGGCAACGAUUCUUGUAAAACUCGAUCUCAAAUCAAGUAAGACUAUCCGCUGAACUUAA
rnacentral:misc_RNA from 1 species